CAUGCAGUGGAGUCGCCGUAUCUCGCCGUUCAAGAUAUGCGUACUCGUAAGUGGCAUUUUAAUUUCACGUUGUGUAAUGCAUGACUGUCUUUUUCAAGUGAACAAAGGUCGCUUUGUAUUGUGUAAAUGGUUUUGCAACGUAUGAUAAACUCCUUGUCUUUCGGGCUUAUUUUUUCUGACAGGAAGAAAAAAAAAAAAGAGGCUUUACAUGAGAACGGAUCAAGCGUUCGAGAGUUGGGACAGGGAAAUGUGAGACGUACUUUCAUGUAUAUAUUUCUAAUAUUAUUUUUUCGUCUUGUAUUCUCGUUAAUUUUUCUCUAGGAAACACUGGAACGACACUGCUUAAAUUGAAGCACAGUGUGCGAAUGACCUGCUACGCUCGGAACUGUUAUCACCAUUCGGGAAGAAAUUGGGUAAGAAUGGAUUGUGUGUGGCGCGCUUCACCGCAUGUGGACUAGAGUAGAUCUAGGAACAUCAGACAAGAAGACACGUAUGUGAAACCCUGCGGAUAGCCCAUAUGUGAACUUUUUUUCCAGAUACGGAGGAACGGACACCGGUCGUGCCGUGAGCACUAUUCUGCAGGGCAUACUUACAAAUGAAGCUGCACUGCAGUUCAGCUGGAAAGGGUCGCAGGGGAGGAAGCACGCCUUCGUGAAGCUCAUGGCCAUCACGAAUAUAACAUCUGUGAGGAGCACGUUCCCUGACGCUUCACUAGCAUCAGUGGCUGGAGUCGCAAAACGCUGGUUGGUUGGAGCAGCUGACAGGGAUGGAGGCCGGAAUGAAAGAAGGCGCCGUGACCCUGCUUCAAGCCCACCAAAUAUGAACUAGUGUUUGAAACUUGUGAACGUGUCGGUGUACAUAUACAAUUACAAGAAAUAAAGACCUGUAUCAGAAUCUUUUGCCUGGCAUUUAUGUGGCAUGAAAAGUACAAAAAAGCGUUCGCUUUCGUGUGGUACUUCUAUGCCGGCCACCACACAAGC
rnacentral:lncRNA from 1 species